rnacentral:lncRNA from 1 species
AGACAGCCACACGCAUCACAGGCCAAAAAUCCCACGUCGGCGAGCAAUUUCUCCAGCAAACCAGCUGUGCUGCCUUCACCUGUCAAGGCACGGAGGAAGGCGAGGCCUCUCCUGCUCUGCCUCGCCGAAGCCCCCCGGGCAGCACCACCCGCACCUCGGGCUCGCUGCCUGGGGCCCCCACCCCGCUCAGCCGCCUCACCCCACCGGGCGCAGGGGCACCGGGCUCCCCUCAGCCCCACACCUGGCCCCGGCUGCCCUCUGAGCCCUCCGGGGAGGGGGGGGGCAGCUGCCUUUCACCAGCACCUCACGGGGCCGGGGGGGGGGCUCGGCUCCCUGCGGAUUGAGGGCCCAGCCCCGCUGCGCCACUCGGCCGCGCUCCCGUCCCCGCCGCCCCCCGCCGCCGUCCCCGGGCCUCGGCUCCCGGCCCCGCGGCUCGCUGCUCACCGGGCGGCGCCGUGCCCCCGGCGCUGGGCUCAGCUGGGCUCGGCUCGGCGCAGCUCGGCCGCCUGCCGGGCGGGUCCCCUGGGCGGCGGCGGCGGCUCCGUGUCCCGGGCGGCGGCGGUGGGCAGAGCGGGCGGGGCAGCGCCUCACGUAAGAGCCCUGUCACCUCCCCGCCGCCAUCUUGUGCGGGCCGGGGGUAGGGGCUCCGAGGCUGGAGCUUGGAGCUCUUGCUCGGUCCCGCUUAGGGCCGUGUCUGCCUUUAGCACGGGAAAUCGCCGCUUUUCUCGAAAUAAGCCGCCUCAGAGCUUCCCGAGAACGUGUAGGUGUAAAAAUAAAAGUCAGGAACCCGACGCGGCUUGUUCCGAGCAGCUGAGUGUGCAGGAAAUCCCCAUCCUGGGACGCGUGAGGCCAGCCGGCUGCCGCCUGCGCCUUCAUCUGCGAGGAGGGGAAAUUGCAGGGAAACUGCACCUUUUGGCAGGGGAAAGGCACCCCAGGGCCGGUGUGAACGCGGCAUGGCACACCUUUCCUGCUCCUGGCACCACCUGGUGUUGGAGCAGCCUCUGGAGUCUGCCUUUGACUCCCCAGUCUGUUUGGCGUCUGCUCACCUGA